CCUACGGGAGGCAGCAGUGGGGAAUUUUGCGCAAUGGGGGCAACCCUGACGCAGCAACGCCGCGUGAGUGAUGAAGGCCUUCGGGUCGUAAAGCUCUGUCAGAGGGGAAGAAAUGCAGGUGGUGAACAACCAUUCUGUUUGACGGUACCCUCAAAGGAAGCACCGGCUAACUCCGUGCCAGCAGCCGCGGUAAUACGGAGGGUGCGAGCGUUGUUCGGAAUUAUUGGGCGUAAAGCGCGUGUAGGCGGUUUGUUAAGUCGGAUGUAAAAGCCCCGGGCUCAACCUGGGAAGGGCAUUGGAUACUGGCAGACUUGAGUACGGGAGAGGGGAGUGAAAUUCCCAGUGUAGGAGUAAAAUCCGUAGAUAUGGGGAGGAACACCGAUGGCGAAGGCGGCCCCCUGGGUUGACACUGACGCUCAUGCACGAAAGCGUGGGGAGCAAACAGGAUUAGAUCCCCUUGUAGU
rnacentral:rRNA from 1 species